CCUGAUAGCUCAAUCAGCAAAGAAUCUGCCUGCAAUGCAGGAGACCCAGGUUCAAUUCCUGGGUCAGGA
rnacentral:tRNA from 1 species